GCAAAGAAUAAAAGAAAAGUGCAGCCAGUUUCGGGGUGCCCAACCCGAGACAAGGUGGCCGCCCAGAGGGAAACCUGCAGCCUGCUCCGGUGGGAACCCGUAGGGCGCCCGGGCCAGGCAGGACCGCAGCGGGUGGGGACCGCAAGACCCGUGCGCCGGGGAGCUCACCGCGGGACCCAACGCUGUGUCGCAGGCGCGCGAGGAGCGGAGGCGGCGGGCGGGCGAGCGCUGUGUGGAGGGCAGUGGACGCUGCUGAAGGGGGCAAUCAUACCAAAUGGCCUGUUUGGGGGCCUGCUCUGCUCUCUGCCCUGCAGCUGUAACUACCAGGGAGGAGGAACUGCCAUGCCCUGAGACCCACUACUGGACCUUCCCAGGGUGCCUGCUGACAUUGGCCCCCCCAGCUCUUCUUGGCACAACUUUACCGGGGACUCUGCACCAGGAGGACACAGUCGCUGCUCAGUGUCCUCCCACAAGCCAAAGGACCAACGGAGCAAAGGACCAACGCCCGAACCGGAACUAACCAACUACGAUGACACAAACCACUGGGCAGUUGAUAAACUCAAAGGCAAAAGAGCACAGCUCUAUGGACCUCCAUGCUAAAGAGACUGCCAAGCCACACCUGCAUCCCCAGGGAGAGGCACCUGGAGCCCACCUGAAUUCAGAUAGCAACUGGACUCCAUACGUACCUCCCAGCUUGGCCUGGGGGGGGGUGGGGACCAAAUCUUCAGGGUUCCUGAUGCAACACCUUGAGAGAUGUGCCAGCAAAUGCCUGUGCUCCGCUACAUGCCUGAUGGACACUUACCUCUGGGGAUGGACUGGGGCGCCUGACUGGCUUCAGUUCUGGGAGCGUGGAGCUCUCCUGAGCCACAGGCCACAGCAGCUCACUUCGGAGCUGGACUCUUGAGUAGCUCUGGCCUCUUGGGGAUCAGGCUGGGGCACAGGCUGGGCAGGCUGCUCAGCCUGAGGAGAUGCAGCGUCCUGGGCUGGGGGGCUGGGUUCCUCCUGCUGCUGCUGCUGCUGCUGCUGCUGCUGCUGCUGCUGGAGUUCUGGGGUGACUACUUUGCCCCUGAGGGAGAAGCAAAGCAUAGCCUUGAGAUUGUACCCUGAAAGCAAGAACUCCCCUGCAGCUGAGCCUUGCCCCCUCCCCUUAGGAUUCUGGGUAGGGAGGCCUGCAGGGUCACCUUGUAAUGGUUCAGGCACUGUCUUCCCUUUUCUGGCCCUUCUUCAAAGUGGGGACUGGUGAGAAUUCACUUUGUCAAGACUGACAACUGCCUAGGAAGAGGACAUGCUUUGGGAAGGACAUGCUGACCCCUUCCUGGUUGAGGGUGGGCUUCUGCCUGGGCACUGGGUUGGGGAGGGGGAGCUGCCCACAAACAGCUUGUCUUGAAAGGUCAUAGGACACAAUGUGAGAUUCCCACGCUUCUCCCCAGCACUCCCAUCUUACAUGGAAGCAAAGAGGGGAGAGAAGUCAAAGGACACCUGGCUGUGCUUUAGGAAGGCAACCCGAGAGAGAGGUGCAUGGGUGUCUCAUAGAUAUGAAUCCCCUUCCCAUAAACACCACACUGGGUGAAUGGAAGAGUCUGGGAUCCCAAAUGCAGGAAGAAAAAUGUCAUGGGCAAGUGGACACACACCCAGGGGUGCUGCUAUUGCCCUGCACUCAGGUCUGUGCAUAGGGGAGGCUGAGGUUAUUUAGGGGGACUGGUAUGUUCAGGAGAAAAGUAAGGUUUUGUUCUUGAAACCCUGCUGGGAGAGAGCAAAUGACAACAGCUUUUCAUGACCCUCUGCUUAGUCUUCAGAAUCCUGAUGGUAGUCAGGAGGUGGAGACAGUGAAAAAUGUUCCUUUUAAAAUGGUUUAUAGGUAUUCAAGAAUAGUCUCCUGGCCCCUCUGUACACUCCCCUGUUUAGGAUAGGGGUGGUGGUGGUGGGAGGGGGCGUGUGUGCAGCAAAAGGAAACAUCUCGGAAAAAUACUUCCUUCUCCAUUUGCACAAACAGCUGUGCACUCCUGCUGGGAAAAGCAGCCUCCCCCCCCCCAUCCCCUGCCACUCCCACUUUGCUUGGCCCAUUAGUGAAGGAAACUUAGGUUUUCUUGCAAAAGGCUCUGUGGCUGUGUGUAGCCCUCUCGAAGGCUUGCCUGCCCAGAUGUCUUUUCUGUCCCCUCGGAAAGUUACUCUUAGCCUAACUCAGCAGGCCCUCCAGCAACAGCAGCAGUCUUCUUCAGGGAGCAGGGUGCUGACUGCUUCAAGCCCUCAGCUCAUUCACCCACACGUGAAAACUUCGAUGGCAGCCCCCAACCCCAACACCUAAAAUGCUCAGUGCGAGGAAGGGAAGCCAGUUACCUGUACUCUAGUCGCUGCGUAGUCCCCGCAGCUCCUGGACGGUGGAUAAAGAGGACUGGGGAGUCGCUGGUGCCCAAGGCUCUCGGACGAAACUGCCCGGACGAUGAUCCGCUGGCUGGGCCAAUAUUAGCAGCCUCCGCCAAAGCAGGGGGUGCUCUGGCCGUGGUGCCCAGACCCUCCAGCCGGGUGGACGUGGAGGAAGCCGUGGAAGGGGACGAGGCUGAGGCUGGAGAAAUGAUGAAGGGCACUUUUAGAGUGUGCAUGGUAACAGGGCCCCUAGGAGUGGGCUUGCCUCUGCACCACUGAGCGCGGCACCUGCUCAAAUGCCAACUGAAGCUAAGGUCUUGCUCCUCACCUCCUCGUCCCCUCCACGCCUGUCCCCAAGCCCCUCCAAAUUUGGGCAGGUUCGUGCCAACUCAGUAGAACAAGGACUGCUGGGGCAGCAGCUGACUGGCACUUUCCCACACUAGGGCAUGAGGGCAUUAAGGGGUGGAGCUUUGGCCUACCCUUGACAGGCGGAAAGACUCUAUGGGGGCAUGGACAGGAGCUUGAAGCACUUCCUGUUAGCUAGAGGGUGGGGACUGUGUUGAAGGGGUGGGGAGUGGGUGGACCUUUACUAGAGUGACAUUUGGCAGUCACCUGAUACCCUGGAAUGUGGGCGUGGCACUGGUAAAAAGGGGGCGUGGCCUAAUGAGUACCCUAUAGGGUUCGAGAAUAAAAAUAAA